rnacentral:rRNA from 1 species
AUUGAACGCUGGCGGCAUGCCUUACACAUGCAAGUCGAACGGCAGCACGGGUGCUUGCACCUGGUGGCGAGUGGCGAACGGGUGGGUAAUACAUCGGAACGUACCUUAUCGUGGGGGAUAACGCAGCGAAAGCUGUGCUAAUACCGCAUACGCCCUGAGGGGGAAAGCGGGGGAUCGCAAGACCUCGCGCGAUUAGAGCGGCCGAUGCCUGAUUAGCUUGUUGGUGGGGUAAAAGCCCACCAAGGCGACGAUCAGUAGCUGGUCUGAGAGGACGAUCAGCCACACUGGGACUGAGACACGGCCCAGACUCCUACGGGAGGCAGCAGUGGGGAAUGUUGGACAAUGGGGGCAACCCUGAUCCAGCAAUGCCGCGUGAGUGAAGAAGGCCUUCGGGUUGUAAAGCUCUUUUGUCAGGGAAGAAACACCGGCUCUAACACAGUCUGGGAAUGACGGUACCUGAAGAAUAAGCACCAGCUAACUACGUGCCAGCAGCCGCCGUAA